rnacentral:rRNA from 1 species
UACGUAGGGUCCGAGCGUUGUCCGGAAUUAUUGGGCGUAAAGGGCUCGUAGGCGGUUCGUCACGUCGGGAGUGAAAACUCGGGGCUUAACCCCGAGCCUGCUUCCGAUACGGGCAGACUAGAGGUAGGCAGGGGAGAGCGGAACUCCUGGUGUAGCGGUGGAAUGCGCAGAUAUCAGGAAGAACACCGGUGGCGAAGGCGGCUCUCUGGGCCUCGCCUGACGCUGAGGAGCGAAAGCGUGGGUAGCGAACAGG